AGCAGCCGCGGUAAUUCCAGCUCCAAUAGCGUAUAUUAAAGUUGUUGCAGUUAAAAAGCUCGUAGUUGAAUUUCGGGAUUGACACAUCGGUCGUGCCUUAAGGGGUAUGAACUGGUGUAGUCAAUUUCUCACCUUCUGGAGAACCGCGAUGCCCUUAAUUGGGUGUCGCGGGGAACCAGGACCUUUACUUUGAAAAAUUAGAGUGUUUAAAGCAGGCAUUUUGCUUGAAUACAUUAGCAUGGAAUAAUAAAAUAGGACGGCAUGAUUCUAUUUUGUUGGUUUCUAGGAUCACCGUAAUGAUUAAUAGGGAUAGUUGGGGCAUUAGUAUUCAAUUGUCAGAGGUGAAAUUCUUGGAUUUAUUGAAAGACUAACUACUGCGAAAGCAUUUGCCAAGGAUGUUUUCAUUAAUACAAGAACGAAAGUUAAGGGGAUCGAAGACGAUCAGAUACCGUCGUAGUCUUAACCAUAAACUAUAG
rnacentral:rRNA from 1 species